GGGGCUAUAGCGCAGUUGGUAGCGCACCUCAAUGGCAUUGAGGGGGUCAGCGGUUCGAAUCCGCUUAGCUCCA
rnacentral:tRNA from 5 species